UACGAAGGGGGCUAGCGUUGCUCGGAAUUACUGGGCGUAAAGGGCGCGUAGGCGGCCUUCUAAGUCGGACGUGAAAUCCCUCGGCUUAACCGAGGAACUGCCUGUCAGACUGGGUUGCUUGAGACCGGGAGAGGCGAGUGGAAUUCCCAGUGUAGCGGUGAAAUGCGUAGAUAUUGGGAGGAACACCAGUGGCGAAGGCGGCUCGCUGGACCGGAACUGACGCUGAGGCGCGAAAGCGUGGGGAGCAAACAGG
rnacentral:rRNA from 1 species